UUCAGAUUUAAUGAAGGCUUUGCAUCUUGUGUUCAGGAAGCAAUCAAUUUUCUCACUUAGCUGGAGAGAGCUGUAGAGUUUUAGGGUCUCAUCGCUUCAUUCGCUCCUUUGUCUUCAGUGAUAGGGUAUACUUUUCCCUAGCAACUAUAAGAGAGUGGAUGGAAGUGUUUUUCAAUUUUAUGUAAUAAGAAACAAAAUAGGUGGAGAAAGAUCUCCAGCUUGGCAGUUCUCUGGUAAGACUUCUUGUCAGUAGUAGAAUGUGAAGUUUGUGAGUUAUGGUCAGUUUUGACCUGUAAGCUGAUUAAAUAGACUAGAAUAAAGAAGAAGAGAAUAGAAGACAUCAGACUAUAUUACAUAAGUUUUCUGAAAGUGGCUGUGACUCUUCUUCAAUCCUCACUGUGCCCUACAGUGUGAUUUCCAUGCUAUUCCCACCAACAGAGGAACUUUGUGCUACUUCUCUUCCAAUCUUGGCCCAAGAGCAUGAUGGAACUGAGCAUGUGUGAUGUCUGAGACCAAGCCACCAAAGUUUGUUUUCAGACAUCAAUAUCUGGCUUUGAGUGGCACAAAGAGAUAAAGGAAUGUGGAUUCACGGCUCACUGAGAUGCUUGGCAAUUCUAAUUCAACCCGACUGCGAAUGGACACAAGACUGUUGUGACUCCUCCUGAGGAGAGAGAAGGCUGGGUCUCUUUGGUAAAGAAUCUUUUUCCUGGAAUGGCAGAGGGCAACAGAAGCUGGAUUCAGAAGCACACAGAGCUGGGGAAUGUGCGCUGCAGUGGGACUCAGACAGGGAAAGGCUGCCAUCUUGUGGUCAGCUUGAUGCUCUGCAGUCUGUGAACUGUCCCUCUGCAGAAGCCAGCAACCCUGGAGGCAAGGAGUCUGAAUGCUGGAUUUCUGCAGGACAAUGUGGAUGCCUUUAGGAAUUACUCUGACUGUGUUCAGGUGCCCUCCGAGGUAGCCUCCAGCGGGUAUUCUGCACGUAUAUCGUCAUUCCUGGGGCAAGGCUAGGCCUCACAGACACUUUGCAGACUGAGCAGGACAACCAGCAAACAGUGAGAACAAACAGCCAGACACAUAUGUACCAUGUACUUACUGUGUUCCUGGAAGGCAGCCAUCUGAAAAACACCCAGGACAAGGUAAGGAGAUAAUAUCAAUAUAU
rnacentral:lncRNA from 1 species